UACGGAGGGUGCGAGCGUUGUUCGGAAUUACUGGGCGUAAAGCGCGCGUAGGCGGCGGUUUAAGUCUGCCGGUGAAAGGCUGGGGCUCAACCCCAUGCUGGCCGGAGAUACUGGAUCGCUGGAGACAGGUAGAGGCGGGUGGAAUUCCGGGUGUAGCGGUGGAAUGCGUAGAGAUCCGGAAGAACACCGGUGGCGAAGGCGGCCCGCUGGGCCUGGUCUGACGCUGAGGCGCGAAAGCGUGGGGAGCAAACAGG
rnacentral:misc_RNA from 1 species